GACGAACGCUGGCGGCGUGCUUAACACAUGCAAGUCGAACGGAGUGGCAAACGGGUGAGUAACACGUAAACAACCUGCAUUCAGGAUGGGGACAACAGACGGAAACGACUGCUAAUACCGAAUACCUGCAGGGGGGUUUGCGUCUGAUUAGGCCGGUGUUGGGGUAACGGCCCACCAAACCAACUAUAAGUUGCCCGGCUUAGAGGAUGAGCGGCCACACUGGAACUAAUACAGGGUCCAGACUCCUACGGAAGGCAGCAGUGGGGAUUCGUCCGCAAUGGACGAAAGUCUGACGGAGCAACGCCGCGUGAGUGAGGACGGCCGUCGGGUUGUAAAGCUCUGUAAGCCGUGACGCGGUACCGGAAAAGCAAGCCACGGCUAACUACGUGCCAGCAGCCGCGGUAAUUC
rnacentral:rRNA from 1 species